UACAGAGGUCUCAAGCGUUGUUCGGAUUCAUUGGGCGUAAAGGGUGUGUAGGUGGCGCCGUAAGUCGGUUGUGAAAGUCGGGGGCUCAACCCUCGGAUGCCGAUCGAUACUGUCGGGCUAGAGUCCGGAAGAGGCGAGUGGAAUUCCUGGUGUAGCGGUGAAAUGCGCAGAUAUCAGGAGGAACACCAAUGGCGAAGGCAGCUCGCUGGAACGGUACUGACGCUGAGGCGCGAAAGCGUGGGGAGCGAACAGG
rnacentral:rRNA from 1 species